rnacentral:lncRNA from 1 species
UCUUCUGACUAGGCAAGACUGUGGCAUGCAGGCAAGAGGUUAGUAUACACAAAAUACAAUAAAAAAGAGAAAGAUAAGGCUGCGUCCUUGCAUGAGGAGCUGUCAAGUGCAAAAGGAGACAACACAAGUGUGGAGGCCACAUUAGCUUUCCUUCCAAUAAACUGCAGGCAGGCAGGCCCACGCUGGCAGAGCUCCUGGUAUCAAUCCGUUAGAGAAAGCUUAUGGUCAAAGUUCCAGUUGCUGAUGCAGUGGCAGGUUGUGAAGAGCCAGAGAGACCCUUCUUACAGACAACAGAAAUUAGAUUACACUGAUACAUAGUGCCAAACUCAUGAAACAUGCUGUUGACAUACAAGGAGUCCUAGAAAUGACCAAGGUCUCUAGGACAUUUGAAGUUCAGUAGAAAGUAGUAGUGAGUGUUGCAAAUGGCACAGAAAAUUCUCCUAGUCAGGCAAGAGCAGGGUAACAGAAACUGGCAGACUCCAUGUCUGAUCCAGGUCACAGGCUACAAGUGAGGAGGAAGAGGAGAGAAGAAGACCUUACCAGAAACCUGGUUUUGAUUC